CUUGCUUUCUUUGCUGGCGACCGGCGCACGGGUGAGUAACCCGUAUCCAACCUGCCCUUUACUCGGGGAUAGCCUUUCGAAAGAAAGAUUAAUACCCGAUAGUAUAAUGAUUCCGCAUGGUUUCAUUAUUAAAGGAUUCCGGUAAAGGAUGGGGAUGCGUUCCAUUAGGUUGUUGGUGAGGUAACGGCUCACCAAGCCUUCGAUGGAUAGGGGUUCUGAGAGGAAGGUCCCCCACAUUGGAACUGAGACACGGUCCAA
rnacentral:rRNA from 1 species